GACGAACGCUGGCGGCGUGCUUAACACAUGCAAGUCGAACGGAAAGGCCCUGCUUUUGUGGGGUGCUCGAGUGGCGAAAGGGUGAGUAACACGUGAGUAACCUGCCCUUGACUUUGGGAUAACUUCAGGAAACUGGGGCUAAUACCGGAUAGGAGCUCCUGCUGCAUGGCGGGGGUUGGAAAGUUUCGGCGGUUGGGGAUGGACUCGCGGCUUAUCAGCUUGUUGGUGGGGUAGUGGCUUACCAAGGCUUUGACGGGUAGCCGGCCUGAGAGGGUGACCGGCCACAUUGGGACUGAGAUACGGCCCAGACUCCUACGGGAGGCAGCAGUGGGGAAUAUUGCACAAUGGGCGGAAGCCUGAUGCAGCAACGCCGCGUGCGGGAUGACGGCCUUCGGGUUGUAAACCGCUUUCGCCUGUGACGAAGCGUGAGUGACGGUAAUGGGUAAAGAAGCACCGGCUAACUACGUG
rnacentral:rRNA from 1 species